GAUGAACGCUGGCGGCGUGCCUAAUACAUGCAAGUCGAGCGAACAGACGAGUAGCUUGCUCCUCUGACGUUAACGGCGGACGGGUGAGUAACACGUCGAUAACCUACCUCUAAGACUGGGAUAACUUCGGGAAACCGGAGCUAAUACCGGAUAAUCUCUUUAACCGCAUGGUUCAAUAGUGAAAGACGGUCUUGCUGUCACUUAUAGCUGGAUCCGCGCCGCAUUAGCUAGUUGGUAAGGUAACGGGUUACCAAGACAACGAUGCGUAGACGACCGGAGAGGGGGAUCGGCCACACGGGAACUGAGCCACGGUCCAGACGCCUGCGGGAGGCAGCAGUAUGGUACCUGCCGCAAUGGGCGAGAACCUUGCGGAGCAACGCCGCGCGAGUGAUGAAGGUCUUGCGUGCGGAAUACUCGGUUAUGAGGUAAGAACAAAUGUGUAAGGAACUGAGCACUUAUUGACGGUACCUAAACAGAAAGCCACGGCUAACUACGUG
rnacentral:rRNA from 1 species